AAGAGUACGUGAAACCGUUCAGGGGUAAACCUGUGAAACCCAAAAGAUCGAAUGAGGAGAUUCAUCGUCAGCGUGUUCAGUAUUAAUGCAGGUUAUGAUGUGAUAAUAGAAUCCUCGAGGUCACUAGAUUAUACUUGUUUGUAUUAUUUUUGCUGGGUAUGUCGGCGUGCACUUCUCCUCUAGUAGAACGUCGCAACCCGUUUGAUGUUUAUCUAUGGCCUGAAUGGUAGUCUUUGAUAUUUUAUUGUAUUGAAAACCUUUGGUGUCCUGAUAAACUGUCUGACGGUAUACACAAAUGGUAUUGAGCCGCAAUUAUUUGCGUUAGACUUGCCGCAAGUAUGGCUUUAUUCUGGCAGUGCGGAUCUAAUGCCGUCGCUGGUCAAAGUCUGCUGUUAGCUGUGUAAUGUCUUUAACUGGCUUAUUUACUGGUUAGCGAUGCUACUGCUUUGGGUAC
rnacentral:rRNA from 2 species